rnacentral:rRNA from 1 species
UACGUAGGGUGCAAGCGUUGUCCGGAAUUAUUGGGCGUAAAGAGCUCGUAGGCGGUUUGUCGCGUCUGCUGUGAAAACCCGAGGCUCAACCUCGGGCCUGCAGUGGGUACGGGCAGACUAGAGUGCGGUAGGGGAGAUUGGAAUUCCUGGUGUAGCGGUGGAAUGCGCAGAUAUCAGGAGGAACACCAACGGCGAAGGCAGCACUCUGGGCCGGUACUGACGCUGAGGAGCGAAAGCGUGGGGAGCAAACAGG